rnacentral:rRNA from 1 species
GCUAAUAUUGUAUUUUUCUAAAAGUCAGCAGAGUUGGGCCUGGUUAGUACUGGAUGGAAGACCACUUGGGAAUACCAGGUGCUAUAGGCU